GUAUUUUUCGAGUAAUAAUAAUCAGAUUUAAGAUGGGAUCGAGUAGUUAAGAAUAAAUUUUAAUCAGAUUUGGAAUAGAUUCGAGUUUUGAAAAUAUUAAUCAGAUUUAAAUUCGAGUAGGAUAAUUUUCCCGGAUACUCUUCUAUUGCCAUCCUAUCCAUUACUUUAAACCAAAACACAAUUAUUGGGCCUUAUAAUACAUAGUUUAUUUCUUCUUGAGUUGAUAUAUUUAACUAAAUACAUACUAGCUAGUAUCUAGAGGAGUGCAUUAUUUUUUUUCAAUCAAAUAACAGAAUCAAAC
rnacentral:misc_RNA from 1 species